AUUGAACGCUGGCGGCAGGCCUAACACAUGCAAGUCGAGCGGAUGAAGGGAGCUUGCUCCUGGAUUCAGCGGCGGACGGGUGAGUAAUGCCUAGGAAUCUGCCUGGUAUUGGGGGAUAACGUCCGUAAACGGGCGCUAAUACCGCAUACGUCCUGAGGGAGAAAGUGGGGGAUCUUCGGACCUCACGCUAUCAGAUGAGCCUAGGUCGGAUUAGCUAGUUGGUGGGGUAAAGGCCUACCAAGGCGACGAUCCGUAACUGGUCUGAGAGGAUGAUCAGUCACACUGGAACUGAGACACGGUCCAGACUCCUACGGGAGGCAGCAGUGGGGAAUAUUGGACAAUGGGCGAAAGCCUGAUCCAGCAAUGCCGCGUGUGUGAAGAAGGUCUUCGGAUUGUAAAGCACUUUAAGUUGGGAGGAAGGGCAGUAAGUUAAUACCUUGCUGUUUUGACGUUACCAAAAGAAUAAGCAACGGCUAACUUCGUG
rnacentral:rRNA from 1 species